UACGAAGGGUGCAAGCGUUACUCGGAAUUACUGGGCGUAAAGCGUGCGUAGGUGGUUUGUUAAGUCUGAUGUGAAAGCCCUGGGCUCAACCUGGGAAUUGCAUUGGAUGCUGGCAGGCUAGAGUGCGGUAGAGGAUGGCGGAAUUCCCGGUGUAGCAGUGAAAUGCGUAGAGAUCGGGAGGAACAUCUGUGGCGAAGGCGGCCAUCUGGACCAGCACUGACACUGAGGCACGAAAGCGUGGGGAGCAAACAGG
rnacentral:rRNA from 1 species